UCGAACGCUUUUUCUUUCCCGGAGCUUGCUCCACCGAAAGAAAAAGAGUGGCGAACGGGUGAGUAACACGUGGGUAACCUGCCCAUCAGAAGGGGAUAACACUUGGAAACAGGUGCUAAUACCGUAUAACACUAUUUUCCGCAUGGAAGAAAGUUGAAAGGCGCUUUUGCGUCACUGAUGGAUGGACCCGCGGUGCAUUAGCUAGUUGGUGAGGUAACGGCUCACCAAGGCAACGAUGCAUAGCCGACCUGAGAGGGUGAUCGGCCACACUGGGACUGAGACACGGCCCAGACUCCUACGGGAGGCAGCAGUAGGGAAUCUUCGGCAAUGGACGAAAGUCUGACCGAGCAACGCCGCGUGAGUGAAGAAGGUUUUCGGAUCGUAAAACUCUGUUGUUAGAGAAGAACAAGGAUGAGAGUAAAACGUUCAUCCCUUGACGGUAUCUAACCAGAAAGCCACGGCUAACUACGUGCCAGCAGCCGCGGUAAUACGUAGGUGGCAAGCGUUGUCCGGAUUUAUUGGGCGUAAAGCGAGCGCAGGCGGUUUCUUAAGUCUGAUGUGAAAGCCCCCGGCUCAACCGGGGAGGGUCAUUGGAAACUGGGAGACUUGAGUGCAGAAGAGGAGAGUGGAAUUCCAUGUGUAGCGGUGAAAUGCGUAGAUAUAUGGAGGAACACCAGUGGCGAAGGCGGCUCUCUGGUCUGUAACUGACGCUGAGGCUCGAAAGCGUGGGGAGCGAACAGGAUUAGAUACCCUGGUAGUCCACGCCGUAAACGAUGAGUGCU
rnacentral:rRNA from 1 species